UAUUACAGGUGUUGCAUGGCUGUCGUCAGCUCGUGUCGUGAGAUGUUCGGUUAAGUCCGCUAACGAGCGCAACCCUCGUCGUAUGUUAUAUGUGUCAUACGAGACUGCCGGUAAAAAGCCGGAGGAAGGUGAGGAUGAUGUCAAGUCAGCAUGACCUUUAUAUCCAGGGCUACACACACGCUACAAUGGUCUGUACAAUGGGUAGCCAAGCCGCGAGGCGGAGCCAAUCCUGAAAGCAGGCCUCAGUUCAGAUUGCAGUCUGCAACUCGACUGCAUGAAGCCGGAGUUGCUAGUAACCGCAGGUCAGCAAUACUGCGGUGAAUACGUUCCCGGGUCUU
rnacentral:rRNA from 1 species